CGCCACCAACGCCCGGCUUUUCUGUGAUUCUUAAUCACAAGGAAGAAAAGUUUAGGGUUACACCCCGGGAGGUGGAGGUGGGGGGAGGUUAUCUGGUAAAUGGGCUGACAACCCCUUGAUCUGAAGGGAGACCUAGCAUCUUUCCAGGGUGCCUCCCACCCUCCACUCCCGGUUCGUGGCAGCUCCAUCCACUACGGCAGCUGUGCACACGCUCCUCUCUUGAGUCAGCACGAGACAAGUAAUUUCCCAUCCUGAAGCUGCGAGUGGAUCUGCUGGGUUGUAGCAGCUAACUUCCCAGAUUUGCAUACUCGCAGCCUCCUUUCCCUCGGCAAGGCUCGGGUCUCCCUUCCCGGAGGAAGUGCACUGCUGACUGUAACGUGCUGCCGGCUCCCAGGAUGGAGGAGUGAAGUCUCGCGUCGCAGCGGUUCCAGCCCCCGGAGCCCGCCCGCUCGCCCGUAGCCGGAGUCCUCGAGAGCGCCCUGAGGGAGCAGGGUGGCCACCUGGUCCAGUGGCACUUCUGAGUAUGAGGCAGUGGUUCAGGAUGUGGGAUUCCCCACCCCACCCGGGACCUUAAUCUGACUGUUCAGACUGAAGAGUGGCUACAUCAUCGUACCUUGACCCUCAGAAGGACUUGGACAUCACCUGCAGACUCACUGCUGUCUUAGUUGCCUCCUCCAUACCAUUCUUGUAGUCAUCUCCCAGAAGCCAAGCGUGUCUCACCCUUAAUCUUUACAGUGUGUAUUAAGCGUGUGGAAAGGGUUCUAUUAUUUAUUCCUGUUCUGCAGUGAGGAUGAUGUAGACAUUCGUAUUGAAUGAGUUGCUCUCUCUGUCUGUUAUGACAAUUCUGUCACUGUUCUGCUUAAUAUGGGUUAAGUGGGUCAGCGAAGUCUACCAGGGUUAGUAUAUGAAGUUCUUUAUCUAGUUAAAAAAGAAAAAAAGAAAACAUUUCUUAGGUCAGGCAUGGUGCGUGACUGUAAUGGAACGAGUUUGAAGCUAGCCUGGACUACACACUGAGACCUUGUUGUGUGUGUGUUCGUCCCCUAUUUACUAAAUGUCUCAUAUACUUUCCAGACACUGGUAUCUGUGGUUCUCUUGGUACUGUGCAUGCUGGGUAAUGACCCUGUUUAUGAAAAGAAACAGAGGCAGGCAUAGAUUGUGACUUACAUAGACAAAGCCUGGCCUAUUCCAGAUUUGUGGAGGCCCCAGUCUUAAACAACCCCCUCUUGCGCUCUCUCUCUCUCUCUCUCUCUCUCUUCUCUCUCUCUCUCUCUCUCUCUCUCUCUCUCUCUCUCUCUCUCUCUCUCUCUCUCUUCCUCUCUUUCUCUCCUUACUCUGACCGGUAGAAAGCAGAGAUCAUGGUUUGUCUAGUCUGACCCGCCUUUUCAGUGACAGUUAAGUUCAAACCUUGAUGAGGGUGCAGAUGUUAGAAAGAGAGUUGUGAGGGAGCCAAUGUUUUUGUAAAUAGUUUUGACUUUCACAGGUGCAUUUCCCUUUUCUCUAAGGAGCCAGGAUGUAUAGAGUUAUUGGCCUCAGUUUUUAAUAAGAUUUAUUGCUUUUUAUGUGUGUGUGUGUGGGGGGGGUGUGCCCAUGGAGGCCAGCAGAGAGCAUUGGAUGCCCUGGAACUGGAGUGACAGGUGAUUGUGAGCCACCCUGUGGGAGCUUCACUUACAUGCUGAGCCAUCGGUCUAGCUGGGUGAGUUUUGAUACAGUUGUGUGCAAGUGGUCUUACUGGAUCUCAGCACAUCUUGUGCUGAUGUUAUUAGGGAUUGUGCAAAUGCCAAGUUCUCAUCUCCGAUAGUGUUCCAUAAUGACUCUCUUCGUAUUUUGGGAAGUGGUCUUAUUUGCUGUGUAGACCAGGUUGGCCUUGGUCUCAUAGAGGCCCACCCAUCCACCUCUGCCUCCCGAGUGCUGGGAUCAAAGGCAUGUGCCACCACACCCAGUACUGCCUGAUGUCUUGAGACUGCUUUUUAAGGUUUUCAUGCAAAAAUGUCUGUUGAGCUUUCUCUCCUCAUUACCACCCUCCCUUCUCCUGCCCCUCCCUGCCAGCACCUUUUGUUUCCCUAGUUAGGUCCACUUCUUUUUCCAUGUCAUAAAUAUACAAAUGAUAUUAUGUCUCUAUAAAAUCUAAGAGCCACAAUGACUUAUUUUACUAACAAAUUUCCCGAGGUUAUUAACUGACUUUAAUUGGACCUGAUAGUUCAAUUUUGCCGUUUUGUGAUCGAUGUUGAGGUGAGGUUUCUUCAUUAAUUAAUUGCCCUUUCCCUGAGUAUCUAUCUCUUCAUGUCCUGGGCAUCUCCCUUAUCUCUACUGAGUCUUCCUUUUCCUUGAAAGAAUUUUCAUAGAGUAUCUGAUAAGUUCUAUGAAUGAAUCCUUUGUGGCUCUUUAAAAAAUAUUUUAUUGUAUUUAAUAAUGUGUGUUUGUAUCUGUACAUGUCUCAUCACUUUCUGGAACUGUACCUUCUUACACGCACACGCACACGCACAUGCACACGCACACAGGAACUCAUAGCCCAGUGCACUCCUUUGAGGAGGCAGAGGAAGGUGGAUCUCUCUGAAUUCGAGGCCAGAUUGGUCUACAAGAGUGAGUUUCAGGACAUCUAUGGUUACACAAAGAAACCCUGUUUCAGGGAGGAUAAAGGAGGAGGAGGAGGAGGAAAAGAAAGAAAGAAGAUGACAGAGGCUCACUUAGCUUAGGGCAGCCUCAGACUCGAUAUGCAGCUGAAGAUGUCAUUGAACUUGUCAUCUUCCUGCCCAUACCCCUGGAGUGCUAGGGUUAUAGAUGGGUGCCCCCUGGCCCAGUUUAUCAUGAACCCAUUUUCGUUUUAAAAGGUCUUUUUCUUUUUGAGUAAAUUCCCUCCACUUUAUCAUCUAAUCAACUCUACACUUCUGUGGCCAUUGUGGACGCAUGAUUUUGUUCAGUUGACCUUUGUGUGCUCUUGGGCCUUCAAUACACUGUUUCAUUGUUAUGGGUGCAUUUGUAUAACUUAAUCUGCUUAGCAUAAUUGACAUGUUAAUGUAACUUCAGAAGUUCAUAAGUGGUUCAUGAGUGGUGUAGGUUUGUUAUUUUAGGAUUUUGUGAUGCUAAGGAUCAAACCAAGGACUGUCCACAUGACAGCAAGCCUCCCGCCUCUGAGCUAUGCCCUCAGUCUUCUGGCUUUUGUUUGCAUGUCUUUACACUUUUGUUUGGCUUUAUUUGUUUAUUUAUUUGCUUUAUUUGUUUAUUUAUUUAUUUGCUACAGUAUCCUUAGCUGGCCUCCUGCUUGUAGCCAAUGAUAAAUUUGGACGUUUAAUUCUCCUGUCCCCACCUCCUUAGGGCUGGGAUUACAGACAUGUUCUACCAUGCCUGGCCCAUGCAGUGCUGGAAUCAAGCCCAAUCAGGGCUUUGUGCACACUAGGCAAACACACUACCAAUUGAGCUGUAGCUACAGUUGGCAUCUUCAUUUUUUUGCACACACAAAUACAUCUUCUAGAUGUAUCUACUGAUGUGGAACACUCUGUAGUUUGAGGGCAACUUACUUUUAACAUUAGCUCUUUAUGUCCCUGCUUGCUUGGCAGCUGUGGCCCUCUUUUACCCUGUGGUCCUCAUUUUAGGGCACUGGUGCCUCACUUAGGAGUCUUCUCUUUCUUCUUCAGUGCCCUGUGUGAGCUUGUAUAACUUGGGUGGUUUUGAAUGUUUUAUGAGGUAUGAUGUGGUAAUACUUGGGUGCAUAUCCUUGAAAGCCUGUUAAUUAUAGAUGUCUCUUUACUACUGGGAAAACAGCAUCAGUUUCAGCUUGGUUUGCUCCAAGUUUCCCCUGCUCUAGUGCGUCCCCAGUCUGCAAGGUCUCAUUUCUUCAAUGUAUAUCACAUUGAAUACUAUGUCAUUUGAUUUGAUAAGUAAGCUUUUGCAUUCCAGGACAAAGUACAAUGUACAUUGCUUGGAUUUUUAUUAUAAAUAAAUUUGAGAUCACUAAGUAAAUAAACUUGACCUUGCUGAAUAUUGCAUGACAAGGUAUUAUAGGCUAAAAGUGGUGGUGCCCUUUCCCAUCUGUUCUAGGGUUAUAUGAAUUAUAGGUCAUGGUUUUGCUUUUAUUUGCUUUUGUUUGUUUGAAACAGCUUUGGCUGUCCUGGGACUCAUUAUGUAGAUCAGACUGUCCUCAAACUCACAGAGAUCCACUUGCCCUUGCCUUUG